rnacentral:lncRNA from 1 species
ACGGUGCUGUGGCUGAGGUUAAUACACGGUGCUGUGGCUGAGGUUAAUAAACGGUGCUGUGGCUGAUAAACGGUGGCUGAGGUUAAUAAACGGUGCUGUGGCUGAGGUUAAUAGGCGGUGCUGUGGCUGAGGUUAAUACACGGUGCUGUGGCUGAGGUUAAUACACGGUGCUGAGGUUAAUACACGGUGCUGUGGCUGAGGUUAAUAAACGGUGCUGUGGCUGAGGUUAAUAAACGGUGCUGUGGCUGAGGUUAAUAAACGGUGCUGUGGCUGAGGUUAAUAAACGGUGCUGUGGCUGAGGUUAAUAAACGGUGCUGUGGCUGAGGUUAAUACAUGGUGCUGUGGCUGAGGUUAAUACGCGGUGCUGUGGCUGAGGUUAAUAAACGGUGCUGUGGCUGAGGUUAAUACGCGGUGCUGUGGCUGAGGUUAAUACGCGGUGCUGAGGUUAAUACACGGUGCUGUGGCUGAGGUUAAUAAACGGUGCUGUGGCUGAGGUUAAUACGCGGUGCUGAGGUUAAUACACGGUGCUGUGGCUGAGGUUAAAAAACGGUGCUGUGGCUGAGGUUAAUAAAUGGUGCUGUGGCUGAUAAACGGUGCUGUGGCUGAGGUUAAUAAACGGUGCUGUGGCUGAGGUUAAUACGCGGUGCUGUGGCUGAGGUUAAUACACGGUGCUGUGGCUGAGGUUAAUACACGGUGCUGAGGUUAAUACACGGUGCUGUGGCUGAGGUUAAUAAACGGUGCUGUGGCUGAGGUUAAUAAACGGUGCUGUGGCUGAGGUUAAUAAACGGUGCUGUGGCUGAGGUUAAUAAACGGUGCUGUGGCUGAGGUUAAUACACGGUGCUGUGGCUGAGGUUAAUAAACGGUGCUGUGGCUGAGGUUAAUACACGGUGCUGUGGCUGAGGUUAAUACAUGGUGCUGAGGUUAAUAAACGGUGCUGUGGCUGAGGUUAAUAAACGGUGCUGUGGCUGAGGUUAAUACACGGUGCUGUGGCUGAGGUUAAUACAUGGUGCUGUGGCUGAGGUUAAUACACGGUGCUGUGGCUGAGGUUAAUAAACGGUGCUGUGGCUGAGGUUAAUACACGGUGCUGUGGCUGAGGUUAAUACACG